GGGGCGGGAGUAGGUCCCAAGGGUUGGGCUGUUCGCCCAUUAAUGCGGCACGCGAGCUGGGCUUAGAACGUCGUGAGACAGUGCGGUCUCUAUCCGCCGCGCGCGUUGAAACUUGAAGAAGGCUGUCCCUAGUACGAGAGGACCGGGACGGACGUACCUCUAGUGUGCCUGUUGUCACGCCAGUGGCAGGGCUGGUUGGCUACGUACGGGAGGGAUAACCGCUGAUAGCAUCUAAGCGGGAAGCCUGUUUUGAGAUGAGGUUUCUUU
rnacentral:rRNA from 1 species